GACGAACGCUGGCGGCGCGCUUAACACAUGCAAGUCGAGCGAGAUCCAGGCCUUCGGGCCUGGGGACAGCGGCGAACGGGUGAGUAACACGUGGGUAAUCAACCCUCGACACUGGGAUAGCCCGGGGAAACCCGGAUUAAUACCGGAUGGCCCUUUGGAUCUUCGGAUCUGACGGGAAAGGUAGCUUCGGCCUCCGGUCGAGGACGAGCCCGCGGCGGAUUAGCUUGUUGGUGGGGUAACGGCUCACCAAGGCGACGAUCCGUAGCUGGUCUGAGAGGACGAUCAGCCACACUGGGACUGAGACACGGCCCAGACUCCGACGGGAGGGAGCAGUGGGGGAUCUUGCGCUAAUGCGGGCAACCGUGACGCAGCGACGCCGCGUGAGGGAAGAAGGCCUUCGGGUUGUAAACCUCUUUCAGGAGGGACGAAGCCACUCGGGUGAAUAGCCCAGAGGGUGACGGUACCUCCAGAAGAAGCCCCGGCUAACUACGUGCCAGCCGCCGCGGUAAAAC
rnacentral:rRNA from 1 species